CCUGUGGAUCGUUAUAUCAAAUGAAAGUAGUUAGCAAUAUUAUGUUGCAACAAAAUCAGACGGAAGGAAGCAGGAA
rnacentral:ncRNA from 1 species